CCUCUCUCCGCCUUUGCCUGGUUAGAUGAUGAGCCCUUUGGGACCGGCGUUUCCGCUUGCUAUGUGUCCAUACGCUGCGCUGGACCCAGCUCGGUGCUGGCCCCACUUCAGCAGAGCCCAUCAUAAAACUAGAACCAUUCAAACAAAUUGAGCCACGCCGUCAUUGCAGGGGUCAACAGACAUAUCCCAGCACAUUUUGGGAAGGAUUUGUGUUUCAUCUCCCCCUUCGUUCCUGUAGAGUCAGGGCGACUUUCCACUGGUUUUACGAUGCAAGGCAAUAAAGCAUCAAGUUCCCGCCGGCCGUAGCAAAUGGAAAGUGCUGCGAUGAAGUGAGCUUUCCCCGUAUGAAACUGGUAAUGAAGAAAACCUAGCAAUGGCAGCAUAUGAGAAAACAUGGACGCUUCAGGCAGCAGCAAAAUAGCAGGAUUGGGCCACUGUUUUUUGCCGCUGACAUUUUGGAGCAAGACAGACAGAAGCCAGCGUGGCUUGGAAAACUCCUCCUCCUUAAAGGGCUUCUCCAAAACCAGAAGGCAGGAGCCUGCAAGCCCUGCAAGGCAGAGCACUACCCUGGUAAGCUGAGCGUUGCUGAAUGCCUCCAGUUUGCCGAUGGGACUCGGAGGCAAAGCGAAGCUAGCUGCAUGAUGUGGUAGAGCUCAAGGACAACAGGGAUGAUCCUGUCUCGAGCAGGGCAUUGGGCCAGCUGACCUCUGAGGUCCCUCCCAGCCCUACUUUUCUAUUAUUUCUAUUCAGGCCAAAGCACCUGAAAGCAAGAACAGUUCCUCAUUGUUGGAUAGACUAGACGCCCUAUGUCUCCAACACGGUCUUGUCAGCAAAACCUUGGCUCAGCGAGGCCUCGGCUUCUAGCAGAGCUCCCUGCCUCCCCUAUAAUCCUUCCUCUCCCUCCCCCUGAUUCCUCUGUCGAACAAAGUCUCUGCUUCUCAGUGAGUCUCACUCACCUCCCCCCUUCCUGGACGGUAACCAGGGCUUGGCUGGGCUGCCAAAAAAUAUAAUGAACAAGGAGUUUCAAGGCCCUUGCACAUUUUACCUGGAAGACAAGCAACACACCUCCCAGGAAGACGGGAGGUUUAACAAUAAUAUACCUCCCAGGAAGGUUUAACAAGAAGGAUGGCUAAUUGGUGCAUGUAGCAAAGUAGUCAAAUAGGGGACGCUUGCAUGCAGAGCUGGGUGGCAACUGGGUUUUCUUAAACAAGCACUGCAAGCCGACCGGCCUCCAGAGUUAUUCAAUGGGUGAUAAAGGCUGAAAAAUGUAACCAUCCUAUGCUAUCCAGGUUGUAGCUGUAUUGGUCUAGAGGAAAAAGCAAUCGGGACUCGUGGUAGAGGUGGUAUUUUUUUAUUAGACCAACUAGAUUUUUGCAACAGAAUUUUUUUUUUUUUUUGCAAAAAUCUAGCUGGUCUAAUAAAAGAGAUUGCCUCUACCACAAGUCCGAACUGUUCUGUUGCACUUUAAAUGUGCAGCCCCUGGACGCUUCCCCUCUGCUGGCCAGUCUCAGCCAAGCAUGCUCAGUGGUUUAGCCCCAGGGGCCAGAUCUCGGCCACAGGCUGGAGGCUGCACACCCCUGGUCCAGUCUUUGGGUUGACAGGGAUUAAAGGCCCUGUGUGGAUUCAUUUAGCUUAAAAGUACCAUGUGUAACAAACUAGGGAUGAAGCUGAACUAGGUGGGACUGGGAUCUGGCCCACCCAGGCACUUGUAACACAUAUGCCCUCUGAGACAGAGCUGGAGCAGCUAGAAAAGGAAGACAUCCGUCUUGCUGACAUGAUGGGCAGCUGCUACCACAGCUGUAAGAGCAGAGGCUUUGCUGGUAAAAGGCUACUCCUGUGGCAGAGCUGUGUCUACACUAGGAGGUUUGCUGGCAGGGCUACGCCAGCUAUGAGGGGUGAUGUCUCACACGCUGAGCUAUACCGACAGAUCAUUGCAAUGAACAUUAACCCAUUAGGUCCCCAGUGCAGGUUUCUGAAGGGGCUGCAUGCAUAAUACCUGUGGUUAAACCAUCUGCAGAUGCAGGGAUUUAAAGACUCUGAGCAACAGCGGGAUUAGCCAUGUCCACGCUGCGUCAUCCUGUCUAGCCGCCUUGCACAGAAAGCUGCCUGAACUCUUCCAGGAAAGGCUGAGAUCGUGAGUCAUCGCCACCACAGCGUUGGCUCAGUUUCUUUCGAAAUCCAGAAGAACUCAAACGCUGGGUUGGGUGUGAGCUCAGCCCAGCCCUGGAUGAGGAGGGGAUAAGGAUGCAUUUGGAGGUGAUCUAGCCCGGCACAGGGGGGACGUGCUCUGAAAACCAGCUUUUUCUACAAUUAAACCCUGCUUGUCACGCCAAGAUUGAGUGCUGGCCCCGGUGGACCUGCUCCGGACAGAUUGUUUCCAUGCACUCCAGCCUAUGCAGAUGCUGGAUGCUGAGCAAACAGGUCCUUGCACUCUGUUUAAAGGGUGGCCGAGUCCUAAGAUGAUCUCAGAGCUGUUUGCAAGGGGAACAUGCAGGGCUCAGAAGGAGACAUCCAGGCUUCAGUGCUGUUGCCCUGCAAUGAGGACCCUCUGGAGACACAGAGACCGGAAGAGGGUCAAGUUUUGCCAGGGACACCCCAACACUGCUGCUGACCUGGAGGACUGGGAAUGCAGGUCUCUGAUCUCUAGAGGUGCUAUCCUGUGGAAGUGAAGACCCCCUGGUUAUUUAAAGGACUACUGUAAAUUAAGAAGGGAAUGAUGCAGCAAAAUGAUUCUUAUGGGACUGAGGUUAUCCAGAGCGUUACAGGAUGCCCAUAAAAUCGUGUUUAUCCAGUGGAGGAUUUUUCCCCUACUCUCUCUGAGAUGCAGUUCAAUAAAGCAGCAAAUUCCCCAUGCACAGUCCUGAGAAGAGCUAGCAGGUUUUCAGCUGAACUCAACAGCCCCUUGGCAAAAAGCAUCUUCCUCAUCAAGGCACCUGAGGUCCCUGCCACCAUAGUCUCUUUUCUCUCUGUCUUCGGUGAGCACAUCUUUUUUUUUUCCCCGUGUUUUUUUCCAGUAAGACCUUUCCAAAUAAGCAACCCCCAACCUUGGAGAGGUGGGGAGUGAUCAGGAGGCUGCUGUAGACAGCUGCACUGGGCUUUUGUCCAAGUGGCACUGAAAUACCGGUGCAGUGAGGACUUGUUGGGGGCAAGACGAAGGUCACCCAAAUGAGAACCUGCAAACCUAUGUGCUAGCCCCUAGUUUGAGCUAACAAACCAGCUUCCUCCACUGUGGUCAGACACAGCACACAGCAAAUAGUGUUUGCAAACAUGUACUGACCCUUGUGAGGUGGUGCUGGAUAUGGCGCGUGCAAGACUCAUCUCAAAAUGACAGCAGUGUGCAAGCAAUUGCAAAUCAAUGCUCCGAAUGAAAGCAGUGGACGUGUUGGCGUGCCUGUGAACUCUACCACUGGUUACUAGAAGCUGGACUCACGCCCUGAUCCAGUGUAUGGGAACGACCAGUGCAGAGCCCCUGUGCCCACAGAUGCAGCUGUCUCCUUCCUGCGGCGGAGCUGUUAUCUUGCUGCGCUACUAUACUGGUGUCCCUGAUCCGAAGUUAAGACUCGACUGUGAGUGCAGGAGUUUUUCCUGGAAGUGUUCCAGUAGCUCGUUUGAAGUCCAUGCAUAUUGCAGAUAGGAAAAAUGAAACCAUGAAAAAAAAAAUCCCUAGCUUGCAUGGUACCAUAUCUUCUAGCAUACGACAUGCCCCAAAUUAGAUCCACACCUUGUUUUUGAAAGGCAGAACGAAGGAAGAAAGAUCUUUCCUCGAAAAUGCUGGUAAAUAGCAGUAAGUAACCAAGUAGCAGCAGGGAGGGAAGGAGCCCAGCAUGGGUUGCAGCCUUACUUUUACUUUCCUCCAGCAAAUGCCUCCACAGCAGAACCAGCGAUUACCAUAUUUCCUAAAUUAUAAUGUGCACUGCAGUUUUCACCAGCUGAUUUUGGGGAAAAAAGGUGUGCAUUAUACGUGAGAAGAUUUAAUAAUUACACAUGACUCCUCUACUAUAAUUAAAUAUGACUCCUCUACUACUUCGGAGUGAGAUCAGGAGUGUUAGCCCAAAUUAGCCAAGUAUCUACAUUACCAAACCAUUAGCCUUCCCCCGAAGCUGUCUGGCGCCUCAAGAGCCUGAGACAAUUCUAGUUCAACCAAGGUGUGGCAGCUGCAAUGGCGAGUGCAGAAAGCAUCUCCACUCAUCACCUGCGUGGUAUCUUUCUGGGUCAAUGUGUAGCCCUGUUUUACAAUCAAUUGCUUUCUCCAAUCAAGGAACUGCUGCUUCUUCUCAAGUCCUCGCACCACUCCUUGCUGCCCCUUUGCACAGGGUGUAGCUCACUUGGGACGCUCAUUGCAAAAGCACUGGCAUCUUAAAAGGCGUGGCAGUGACUGGUUCCCAACUGGGAUUGCAGAGGCUAGAACCAUUAAGGAAAUCCUACUUCUGCAUGGCAUUGCUUGGGUGGCCAACACCAGAGCACAGUCAAUGGAGGUAGUGCCUACAGAGGCUGAGCAGUGCAGAGUGCUCAGGUGGUGGAUGCCAGCUUUCCAGCCCAUUGGCACCUUCAUCUGCUCACUCAUCCUGCCUGCAGGUGCUGGAGUUAUUACUUGCAAUGGCCCAUUUCAUUUCCAAGACAUUGGCUCUCAACUGUUUUAGACUCAAGGUCCCCCUUGGAAAAUGCCAGCUCUUAGAUUGCACUUGUUUAUGGACUACGGAAAAGAAUUACUAGAGUAAUUCUUCUGUUGCAAAGAACUCAGGAAGACCAAAACAGAUCAGAAUGGUUUUGACAUGUUGGAUUCUUAUUUUAAAUGUCUGGGGUUAUCUUGUGACUCAUCUGUAGGUACUUGUACACCUAAUAGUGCUAAUAUUGUGCAGAAGCCCAUGGCACACUUACAAGAUCUCAUGGCACCCUGUGGAGUCUUAGCACCCUGGUUAAAAAUCCCCGCUACAAGCAAAUGCAGCAGCAUGUGCGCUAUUCUGCUAGCAUUUCUUUUGUGUGCAUCAUAGGACUCAGUACUUUUGCACCGUAUUAUUUUUGCACCGCAGCUGUGACAUUCAGGAAGGCCUUGGUAUACGGCAUAGUCAUAACCAAGUCUGUUCUAGGUGGCCCUGGAUUUGCUACCAUAUGGCCAACUAGUAAAAACAGUUGCACGUUCACAUAAGGCCUUUCAUCUCUAAGGAUCUCAGAGCACUUUAAAUAAACUAUGUGAAGAAUCACUUCACCCGCCACAGCCUGGGUGAAACACAACAGCUGUUUAACAGCAAACAGCAGCUCUGCAGAACAGGGAUGUGCAAGAAGUACAGAAUAAGUUUGGAUGGAGUUGAGCCAGCAGGAUGAAUGGAUGUAGACUGGAUGCAGCUGGCCUGAAAAAUCAGGAGGACCCCCCCGUGCAAUCCCUACUGUGGGAUUUUAAUGAUGAAUCAGGGGAUUGUAAGGGGUUGAGCAUCUAGAAACAUAGGAGUGGAAAGGGUGUCGAGUCUCAUGCUAUCAUGAGUACUAUGUCCCAUGCUUCAGGGCUUCUGCUGGUCAACUAGAGAGACCAGGAAGAACCUGCCAAUACGUAGAGCCCUUUAAAGCACCUGACUGAAGGGUCUCACUCCUAUGUUCAGGGAGUCCAACUGAUCACUAAGUGUGGGGGCAGGUAGGAGUUUUCCUCUAGGUCAGACUGGCAAGGACUGCUGGGAGGGGUGCCUUCCUUGGUACUAUGAAGCAUGGUGCUGUUAAGAUCAUCUGAGCAUAUGCAACUUAAAUCCUCUGCCUCUGCAGCAGACAAGGCAUUUGUGGUGGCCUUGUCUCUCCUGCUCUUCACCUGGGGCCCAUUGGAAGUGGUUUUUAAUAGGACAGUUCUGGCUAGGGUAUGUGAAAGGGUCUGGAAGGGACCCUGUGGGCACAUGAUUUCCUAUAAACACAGGGGCCUGCCCUCAGGUCCAAAGCCCACAGAAACCUUCAGAGACCUUUCAGUGCUCCUUCACCAUUCAGAUGCCAACCAGGCGACUGAUAACUGAUAAUUAAGCUGGAGGCAAUGCCAUAUAACAGGCAGAACUGUACCUGAACUGGUAGCGAAGCGAUGCAGUUCGAAGAGCAGAAAAAGGAGGGUCGUGCUUUCAGACCCGGAGGUUACAAUUCCCAGCACGGCCCCACUUCAUUACCAGCAACCUGCUUUAUGUACCGCUAGUGAGGAAGCAAUGGAGGGGUGGAGUAGGGAGCUUCUUCAGGCUAUGCUAGGCACUUGGGGAGUUUGUAAGACGCUGUUGGGUGCUUUCUGGAAGGCAAUUCAAACCCUCACCUCCUUCACUAACGGAGGAGUCGGAGCUCCUGGACCGGCAGUCCUGGAGGAGGGAGAGGUUGCAGGGAGUUCCUGGCAUGCAAGUGUGAGGCAGAUAGUAACAGGUGGGAAGAGGCUGGGCAGUGCCAUCAGCAGCAGUCCAGGUUGCAAGGCACUUGCUGGGCUGCACGAGGACUCGGGAAACCUGUAGGCUAGGCCUAGCUCUGCUACUGAUGUAGUGCAUGGCCUCUGGCAAGUCACUUAGCUCCUAUCUUCAAUCCCACCCUUUGCACCAUAGAUAGGAAGGCAGGGUCUGGGUGUAGGCACAACACCAAAUGAUCACAUACCAAGGUGUAGGUAGCCUGACUGAUGAUUUACACACCUCAUUAGCCAAAGGCCUUCUACUGCUGCCCCAUGAGUGACCUGAGGCUCCUGGGCUCUGGUUGCAUGCUCCUGCAUAUAUAAAGCUUUCUUUUGGCUGUUUGGACAGUAAUGUCCCAGAGUAACCCACUUUCUACCAGGGAGAAGAUGCGGCAAAGGUUUCCAGUGUGACCCAGCGAGGGACAUUUGUGGAACAAAUACGCUGGAAAUGAAUGGGCAUCUCAGUUUGAAAGCACCUACCAGUGCUACAGAUCAUCCACGCUUUCGGACACAUGCAGCACAGAGCACAAGCCUGCACGCUUACAGCUGACGGUCAGGGAAAGAAAUGCCUCCUUUUGCCUGGGGCAAAGAGACAGCCCUUAAAGUAAGAGAGAAGUGGCUGCCCUGGUAGGAACGGAGCUAUGCCUCCCCUUGGGGCCAACAGAGUGGCUAGCCCAGCCCUAGAAGUGAUGAUGACUCGGGUUGGGAAAAGUGACACCUCCAGCAUUUGGGUCACAACUGCUUCUGCUGAACAGCUACUCAUCCAGUGAUCAUGGUCAUGGCAUCUGGCCUGAGGUUUUCCUGUUAUGCUCCAAGGAUUGUAGCCACCUUGCUGCUCCAUGCAAGUCUGUGCCCGUGACCCAUGUCCCCAGCAUCCACAGAUGAACGUGGUAUGGAAAGCAACUAAAAUGCCAGCGCACCCAUAGCCUAUGAAACACCUGUUAUUGGAAAAGCCUUCUCUAUGGUAUUUGUACCAUGCCUUGGUAGAGUAGCAUGUCCUCGGGGAAGGGACCUGGCCUGUACCAGCCUGCAAAACAUGGUAUUAGAGACACAGAAGUUUGAGGCAGAAUUGAUCAUUGCUUCUUUGAAGUUUAAUAAACUGAAGUCAUCCUAUGCCCUUAAGUGUAUCUGUGCCAUGGUUAAAGCAUUGUGUGACAUUAGAGGUGGAAGUCUAGUAACAGAUGUCUAAUCAGAGGUGAGCAGUGUGCUUUUUGCUGAGAAGCCCGACCCCUGACUUAUCCAUUGCCAGCUGCAUAGGAUGCUUUGAUUCACAUCUGAUUCAGCGUUGUGCAGUAUAUUCACAGGCAAAUGGCCUCAGCCAUACCCCCAAAAUAACACCCCACUAGCACAGUUCAGUUGCAGCCAAAUUAGGUUGUGCUGCGGCCACCAGCAAGGACAGAAGACUAGGAGAAGGGGUCCAGGGGCAGGUCUAAUAAAAGACAGAGGUUAUGCAUUGCAACUCCUAACUUUUAAUGCAAUCCAGGACCCCGAGUUGGGGCAGAGCUGCUCUGUGAAGGACCUGGGGAGAGGCAGAUACGGAGUCAGAUAUGCUGUAUAGGGCACUGCCCAAAGUUGUGCACAAAGCAUGGAGCUGCCUAGAGCUCAUACCUCCAGGAUGGAGAUGAGAAGAGCAAAAAUCCCACCCAACCUACAUAGACUAUGGGAAAGAAAAAGCCCAAGGAAAAGCACAAGUGGGGACUACUGGACCGUCAACUCGAUGGAGCUACAAAUGCAACAUGGCCCGUGAAGAAAAAAGCCAGUGUUUUUGUGGGCUAAAGAAUCAGGUAUCAUAGCUUCGUGUUAAGAGUGGGGUGACUGCUUCUGAGAUAUACCAUAUUCCUUUAUGGGCGAUUUGUGAGCAGAAGACAGCUUUCAAAGCUGAAGGUAUCAGAGAGAAGACCAGGAAAAGGCGUAUCUGGGGAGAAGGAACGGAUAAAUGUCCAAUUGCCGUGAUGGGACCAGUAAUGGGACAAGAAAAAGCCAGAGCUUUAAGUGCCGUAGUGGGGCAGACGCUGCCUUGAGCAGAUAGGUGCCAUCUCAUUGACUUUGGCACCACUGGGGACAGCACAAGCAAACAACGGUUGCAAACCCCACCUGGGGUGGAGCGAGGUCCCUCCGACAUCGUUACCAACCAAGCAUUUGGCUGCAUCAGAAGAACAAACCAGGAAAGGCAGCUUCAUUCUUCUCCGAAUCGCUUUAUUAUAUUGUGAAAUAAUUGUAAAGCAUUACAACGCUGCAGAGAUUUUUAAAAAGAAAGAAAAAAAAAAUAAA